CAUGAAUGGGUUACAACCCGCAGUUUGGAAACAGCUUGAUGGACCCCCACCUGUGCUUUCCAGCUUCUCCUAGAGCCUCAGGGCCCCAGGAAGGCGGUGUGGUCUCUGAAGACAGCUUCUAGAGGCUUCUAGCAUUCCUUGGCUUGUGGCAUCUUCCAACUUCAAAGCCUACAGCAGUCGACUGAGUCCUUCUCACAUCACAUCUCCUCCUCUGACCCUCACGUUCCCUCUUCCACUUUGAAGGGUCCUUCCUUGUGACAAUGCUGGAUCAUCUCCUUACUUUAAGGAAGCUGCCUGGGGAAGGAGGAGCUGGAUCUAUUUCGUUCUUUGCUAGGGACCGUGCACACCAAAAACAUGCUGAAUGUUUGGGUGAAUAAAUGAAUCUAAAUUCCACUUCUUCCUGUAGCCUGCUGGGAAGACCAGCGUGGCUAAAAUUGAAGUCAGAAGCUAACAAUCUGAGGGAAACAGUCAGGAUAUAGGAUGAGGCAACAAGAAGAGGGUUGGUUUGGACUCUCAGAGUGUGAGUGGGUGGCCUUAAGCGGAAGUGCAUUUCCACGAAGGCCUGGUGCUGAACCGGGGACUUCCAGCCAGGAGGGCCUGUGGUCUGAGAAGGUCUGAGCUGCCUGGGGCAUGUCUCCUGUCUGCAGCUGCAGCACAGACCACAGACCUGGAGGUUGCCAUGGCAAUCCCUGGGGCCUGCUGCCCCCACUGCCUGCAGAGCGCUCCAGCCCAUCAAUUAGUAACCUAAUAAUGUAUGACAACAGUCACUCCAAACACACAGGAAGCAGCCCUCUUGAAAAACAAACGACUUCUCCAGCAACUCGAGAGCUUCGAAGAUGCUCAUUACGCUCAACCCCGGGCCACCCGCUCAAAUCUAUUUUCUUGAAUCCAAAUUGCUCUCUCAUUGGCUUCUCCCUCUUGUUUUGAAGGCCCAGGGUUGACAAAGCUGGGGACUGAAGCCUCAGAGGUUCCAGGGCUAGAGAGGCCACUGGGUAGGAUGCCUGCUCCCUCAGCCCUGUGUCAGGUCCAGCGAUACUGAUUCUGACCAAAAUACACUGUGUGUGAUAAGGCCCAUGUCUCUGUCUCGGCAGGUCCUCUCCUGGGAGAAACACUUCAACUUUUGCAAAAGAUUAAUUCAUCACCAUGGCGCCCAGAAAAAAAAUGCAAAAGAGAAGGCUCAAGUUGUGGCAGACCCAAGGUGGCUGCAAACUCUUUGAGAUUUUCCUCAUCGAGAGGUGGGGGUCUAAAUCCCCUCCCUUGAACCUAGGCAGGCCCUCUGACUGCCUGACCAACAGAAUAGCGUGGAAGCAACGCUGUACCAGUUUUUGAGGCUAAGCCUGAAGAGACUGGCAGUUCCCACUUCCUGUCUUUUGGGAAUAAUUGUUCUUGAAACCUAAGUGCUAUGCUGUGAGGAAGCCAAGCAGCCUCGUUGACAGGCCCACACUGAGCGGAACCAAACCCUGGCCAGCAGCUCCUGCUGUGCCCCGAGCUGACAGCCAGGUUUGACUUGUCUUGCAUACCAGUAUGUCAUGUUGGAUGAGGAUCCCCCAGCCCCAGUAGGGCCAUCUCAGCUGAUGCUCCAAGGAGCAGAGAUGAGCCAUCCCCACCGAGCCCUGCCCAAAUCACAGAUUUGUGAGCAAAAUAAAUACGUUAUUUUAAGCUAA